rnacentral:tRNA from 1 species
CGGACAGUAGCUCAGUGGUAGAGCUCCAGUUUCGUAUUCGGGGAAGGCCUGGGUUCGAUUCCCGGCUGUUUAC